rnacentral:rRNA from 1 species
UACGGAGGGGGCUAGCGUUGUUCGGAAUUACUGGGCGUAAAGCGCACGUAGGCGGCUUUGUAAGUUAGAGGUGAAAGCCCGGAGCUCAACUCCGGAACUGCCUUUAAGACUGCAUCGCUAGAACGUCGGAGAGGUAAGUGGAAUUCCGAGUGUAGAGGUGAAAUUCGUAGAUAUUCGGAAGAACACCAGUGGCGAAGGCGACUUACUGGACGACUGUUGACGCUGAGGUGCGAAAGCGUGGGGAGCAAACAG